UGCACUGUGUACUGUGUUGUAUUGUUCCAAUGGCCUGUAAAAUUGUGUGUACAAAAUUAUUUUAUUUUAUAAAACAAUCUAAACAUUUUAAUGGUGGGCUUUUGACUCUGAACUAUGAGGGCAAGCACUUAUAGUGGCCUUUUGUUCCAACACACAAAAACUAGACUCACUUCCCUUCUAUGCAUUUUCCUUUGUUUCUUUAGUGGCCAUGACCACAACCUCAAAGCACAGUUACAAGCUCUCCCGGGAAAAGAGCCACAAGAACAAGAAGACACCCACAAAACAUGCAGUUGAAAGAAGAAGAAAUAAUGCAUCUGUUUUAGUUUCUUUCUACUCAGAUCGGUAUUAUAUUGUUUAGCCAAGCAGAUCUCUCACCUCUUCAGGAGGAAAACUUGAUGUAGGUAAUGGUGAUGAGGAAGAGGAGGGGGAUGAGGAGGAAAAUGAAGUUCAUCCUCGUGUAAGACAUAUGAUGAGAUUCCCAAAAAAGAAAAAAAAAUAUGAAUGAUUUCAGGUUACAUAUCAACUAUUUAAGAUUUAAUAAAAUGAGAAGAGUGAGUUAAUAACAAGUUUAAUUUUUUAUAUGAAAUUUGUUAUUGUUAUGAUAUAACUUUUUGUUUGUGUGUAUAAAACCAGGACAAAAUUGUCAAAGCUGCUAAUGCGGGAACAAGUGAAUCAAUAAAUUUCUACUAUUUAGGUGACCGAGGAAGUUCUAGCGAUUUUAGACCAAGCUGGGAGCUUUGGAAUUGUGUAUGGAGACUCAUCUGAUGGAGCAGUUUAUGUUUACAAGAAUGAUGGUAAUGAUGCAGACUUGGCUUCUGCAGUUCAUCAAUCUGCACCAUUGACUGUUCUCAGGAUAUUGACACUGGAAAAGAAUGGCAAUCUGCGGUUGUAUCAAUGGCGGGUGUUUGCAGAUGGUUGUGACAACAUACAACACAUCUCUUCUUACAGCUCAAAGAUACAAGAAUGACUACUACUUAGGAAAGAUUCAGUUUACAUUGGUUUGGAUUCAAGGAAUGAAAAUUCAGCUGAUUUAGACAAAUUGAAUGCAUUAGUAAAUCCCGAAAGCUCUGAAGCCUGCAAAGAAAAUUAUUGAGCUAUCCAAGGAGGAUAGUACAGCCAAAGUAAAGAUCAAAAGGUUUUAUUGAACAAAUAUGGAACAAUUAUCGAGGGACAACACAUAAUUCCAGAAGGGGAGGCUAUGCUGCACAAUAUGGGAGCAAAGAUGAACAUAGAUCUAAAAACUUAAUAUUAAUCAAAAGGUAGCAACUAGAAAGCUCAGCAGAUAAGAAACGUCUGAGCACUCGAGCCUAUGAAUAUGAUACACUAUUAUAAAAAUUUCCAUGUCCUUUUGUUCUUUUCUUGUCGUGGUUUUGUAUCAAAUGGUUAUGCAAACAUUUUUAGGUCACACUAAACUUUUGUCAGGUCAGACCAAGUCUUAAAACAAGAUCUGUAUGAGAUACAAAACCAUUUCCACUGAUAGGGAUAACAUAUUGACCACUUGAUUUCAAAAGCUUAAAUUAUAAGCUGAAGGUAAAG